rnacentral:pre_miRNA from 1 species
GAUUUNAACUGAAAAAGUCAUCAACAACAAAGUUGUAUAACUCAUCAAGAUCUAUAACUUUUAUUUUGGUCAUUUCUUCAUCCGACAAAAUGAUAGUAACAUUGUUCACAAAACUCACAUAUCUCUCAUCUGGUUUCAUAAACUAUAACGCAGAUAUGUAAAUUUUGUGAACAAUGUUACAUAUCUGCGUUAUAGUUUAUGAAACCAGAUGAGAGAUAUGUGAGUUUUGUGAACAAUGUUACUAACACUUUGUCGGAUUAAGAAAUGUCAAAAAUAAAAGUUAUAGAUCUUGAUGAGUUAUAACAACUUUUUUUUUGUUGAUGACUUUUUAGUUGAAAUC